AUGAAAGGAAAUUUGCCUGGCGACCAGAUAAACUUGGCACUGUUACUAGACCAUGAGAAACGUGAGGGUGUGAAUUUCGUCAGCCUGCUUAUCCUCGGCUUCCUCGUGAAGCACCUCUUCUCAUGCUCCUUCGGUUCCCCACAACCACCAUUCCUACCCAAAGGCCAGACGGGGUGUGGCCAGUCAUUUCAGCUGGUCGGACUUAUGAUGGAGAAGGGAUGUUUUAUGUGUUGGGGUGGGAGAAAGUGCUGGUCCCCUCUUUUGGAUGCUGCUUCUAAAAGGAUGGCUGAGGAGUUCCUGUCAUGGCUCAGCGGAAACAAAUCCAACUAGCAUCCACGAGGAUGCGGGUUUGAUCCCUGGCCUUGCUCUGUAGGUUAAGGAUCUAAGUUGCUGUGAGCUGUGCUGGCGGUCAGCAGCUGUAGCUCUCGUUCAACUGCUAGCCUGGGAACUUCCAUAUGCUGCAGAUGCAGCCCUAAAAAGCCCCCCCCCCCCCGCAAAAAAAAGGAUGGCUGCAUGAAAAUAGCCCCUCCAGAUCUGGCCUCAGAGUGAACCUCUACAGAUGUGAGAUAUAGUCUUGCUGGUAAUGAAUGUCUCUCCUGCAACACAGUCUGCUGUCAGGGCUACUGUCUCUUUUCUCCACCUUGUCAAAGACCCUAGUAUAUUUUCUUUGCUUCUGGUCAAGACCCCAGACAAAUUAUCCUAUUAAACAAAUCAUUACCAAAGAUGUGAUAAGAGCCCUAAUAACAAAUCAUUACCAAAGAUGUGAUAAGAGCCCUAAUAGUGGUAGGUGCCAGACGAAGCGGAGGCAUACAAGUAGGUGUUGUUAAUUCUCACUAGGGAGGAGGACAGGGUUGAUAUCUGAAAAAGAGUUUUCUUUUGAGAAGAAGUUGUUUUUUUAACUUAUUAAACAGAACUUUUUUUUUUUUUUUUGUCCUUUUUAGGGCCGCACCUGAGGCAUAUGGAAGUUACCAGGCUAGGGGUCAAAGUGGAGCUGCAGCUGCUCGCCUACACCAUGGCCACAGCAACACGGGUUGUGAGCUUUGUCUGCGACCUACAUCACAGCUCAGGGCAACGCUGGAUCCUUAACCCACUGAGGGAGGCCAGGAAUGGAACCUGCAUCCUCAUGGGUACUAGUUAGGUUGGUUACCACUGUACCACCCCGGGAACUCCCAGAACUUGAUUUUUAAAUUGUAGUAAAAUACACAUAACAUUUACCCUCUUAACCACUUUUAAGUGUCCACUUUGGUGGCAUUAAAUAUAUUCACAUUGUAACCAACCUCCAGAACUUUCUCACCUUGCAAAACUGAGGCUGUAUACACACCAAACAGCUCCCCAACUCUCCAGCUCCCUACCCGCUGGCAACCACCUUUGCUGAGUGGCUGUCUGAGUUUGACUGCUCUAGAUACCUCAUAAAUGUGACAUCAUACAUGUUUGUCUUUUUGCCACUGGUUUAUAUCUCUUAGCAUGAUGUCAAGUUUCAUGUAUCCUGUAGCAUGUGUCAGAAUUUCCUUCCUUUUAAAGACCAAAUAAUAUUCCACUGUGUAUAUAUACUACAUGUUGCUUAUCCAUUCACCCAUCAAUGGACAUUUGGGUUGCUUCUGCCUUUUGGCUAUUGUGACGAAUGCUGCUACAAACAUAGGUGUGCAAUUAUAUCUGCUUUUAAUUGUUCUGGAUAUAUACCUAGAAACAGUAUUGCCGAUUUUAUGGUAAUUUUCUACUUUUGACUUUUUGUGGACAUUCCAUACUCGUUCCAGUAUCAUUGUACAUUCCCACCUACAGUGCCCAAGGGUUCCAAUUUCUCCACAUCCUCACUAAUACUUGUUAUUCUCUCUCUCUCUUUUUUUUUUUUUUUUUUUUUUUUUUUUUUUUUG
rnacentral:lncRNA from 1 species